GUGGGGAAUCUUGCACAAUGGAGGAAACUCUGAUGCAGCGACGCCGCGUGGACGACGAAGCCCUUCGGGGUGUAAAGUCCUUUCGACCGGAACGAUAAUGACGGUACCGGUGGAAGAAGCUGCGGCUAACUACGUGCCAGCAGCCGCGGUAAUACGUAGGCAGCAAGCGUUGUUCGGAAUUACUGGGCGUAAAGAGUUCGUAGGCGGUGCGGCAAGUUUGGUGUGAAAUCUCCCGGCUCAACUGGGAGGGUGCGCUAAAUACUGCCGUGCUCGAGUAUAGGAGAGGUAAGCGGAAUUCCUGGUGUAGCGGUGAAAUGCGUAGAUAUCAGGAGGAACACCUGUGGUGUAGACGGCUUACUGGACUAUAACUGACGCUGAGGAACGAAAGCGUGGGUAGCAAACAGGAUUAGAUACCCCUGUAGUCC
rnacentral:rRNA from 1 species